rnacentral:tRNA from 1 species
GCCAGAUAGCUCAGUUGGUUAGAGCAUCAUCCUGAUAUGCUAAGGUUAUGGGUUUGAUUCCCAAUCAGGGCG